CCCAGCAGUAGUCAGCUGCCCGUGGCUGCUCAGUGCCUGUGCCAGUGUUAUGCUGCUGGGAGAGAAAGGUGCUGCUGAGCUUUCCUGGCACCAGCAAGGCCGUCCUGGUGCUCCAGUGGUGCCAGGUUUUGGCAGCACUCUGCAUGCCUGAGAGUGGAGUAACUCCUGCCCGUGGAGACCGGUGACUAGACUGUGAGUGUUCAUG